GACAAAAAAUAUAGAUUUUCUUUUUCUCUCCACUUUCUCUUUGCCUUCAUUUCUGCGGAUGUCUAGCUAUUUGAGAAUCAAGCUUAGCUAUCACCAUCGCCCAAGCCGCCACACCAGAUCUAGCCAGUGGCACUGCUAGAUUUGAUCCCUUUGCCGCCCCUAAGGAGCGAAGGAGGCUGUGAAGCAAAGGUGGAAGCAAGGCGAGAGGUUGAGGAAUAUGGCCAUGGCUCCAGAUUUGGUGACAGAAGAAUAUGGCCACGAGCGACGAGGGUGGCUCUAUUUGUGAGUCGCGGUGAAGAGGGACAGGUGGCUUGGAGAUGGACCUUUUCGAUCUACCGAUGGACGAGCCUGAUCGCGAGCGACGACAAAGGGUGGCUUUGUUUGCGAGCCAGAGCAAGAAGGGAGGGGUGGCUUGGCUAUGGACCUCCAAAUCUAUUGACGGUCAAGCCUGAUUACAAGCAACGACGAAGGGGUGGGCGAAGAACAACCGUAGAUGGAGAUUCGUCGUGGCUUGGUCAUGGACGGCCAACGAUGUAACACAGCCGCAGCUAAGAUGGUGGCUUGACCAUGGACCCAUGGCUCCAGAUCUCGCCUCGUUGGUCAUGGACCAACGGCGACGAGGGAGGGGUGGCUCGGCCAUGGACCUCCCAAUCUACCGAUCGACGAGCCUGAUCGUGAGCAAUGAUAAAGGGGUGGGUAGAGAACGACCAUAGAUGGAGAUUCAUGGUGGUUCAGCCAUAGACGGCCAACAACUACGAGUAGCCGCAAUUGAGAUGAUGGCUCGGCUAUAGACCCAUGGCACCAGAUCUCGCCUCGUCGAUCCAACGACGUCACUAGCCAAAUCUAGUCUUCUCUCCUAAUCUUAACAUAGACACAUCUUAGAUGUUGUACGCACUCUUCUAACCUCAGCUAUUGUCCUAAUUGCUAAAUACAAUGUCAAUCAUACUUCGUCACAUCUUUACUUAUGAGCGCUUGUAUGAUAGUUUUUCUGAAUUAUAAUCUAUUUUCGAGUCUUCAAUAA